UUCAUAUUGUAGCGUCCUCGCGUAUAGACGACAGGAAACUUCUCUCUUUAUGUGUAACUUUAUUAAACUCCAGCGAACACGACUAGCUUCUUGUUCGUAACUCUGACACUCCUCUCAUCCACCACUGUAUUCUUCACUCCCCUUCCUCAUUCACCCUUGAUACGCCAACUCAUCAGCCAAUGAGAGCCUGGCAUCCCACAAAACCCUACAGCCAUUGGCCUAGAACUUUCACGUGCCCCACCCCUACCUGUUCAUUGACCCUCGGGACAUUUCAAUACUUUCUCCUCAGGAGAGACGCUGUCUAAAUCGAAUGCUUUCACCAUGUCGUUGCUCAGUGCCCGUAAAAUGUCCGCGAUUUAGCCUAACCGAAACCAACUAACUAGACUUAUCACUACGUUACCCAUCACUCAUGGCACACAUAUGCAGACCAAACAAGCAACGUAUUCCAAGUGUUUUCUUCUCUGGCCAGUGUCUCGGCUCCGUACCACACAACUUGGUAGAAGGAUUAAUUCAGUAUAGUGAAUUAAUCUGGAAUCUUCUCUAAAAAAAUAUUCCCCAAAAUUGUUUUUCCCCAUUUACUUUAAAGGGGACAUAUUAUGAAAAUUCCACUUUUGUAGUGCUUCUACACAUUAGUUUGGGUAUCUGGCAUGUCUACCGUCCCAAAAUCAACCUGGGCCAAUAUAACGCUGGAUUCUCUAAAAGGUUGUUAUUGAAAGAGGGGUCGGUGCCAUCUUUCCAUCGCAAUACUGAAGACGAGGGAAAUGCAAGCACAUCUGUUCACGGUGCUAGGCUACAUCACGUAGCAUGCCAGACGGACCCACCACAGAUGCGCACACAUGGAACGCAGCUUUCUAUGAAAACACUGCGACCUCACUACAAACGUACAGGCACACAGAAAACUGUGCUGCACUGAUGUCGGUGUUGGGACCUCAGCUGUAAGAGACCUCGCUUGGAGGAGGGAGAGGACAAGAUGUGACAUUACAUGGAUAACCUGUUGGACCUCAUCUUUCACGAGGUUUUUCAGGACCCGGCCCCAUAUGUGAAUGAGGUGCUGAAGAUCUCAAAACCUGAGGAUCUCUCUGCCUUGUAUGAGAAACCUGACAGGAAGUUAUAGCCAGCUAUGUGUCGAGUUUCAAUCAAGGGCAGGUCUGAACCCUGUAUAACUUCCCUGAGCAUCAGGGAACACUCUGCGUAUCUGGAGCACCGAGCAGGAGGGCAGGACCACCCUGAUUCUCCGGCCCAGAGGGCCUCAACACCAGCUCACAAAGCUUCUGUACGCCAAAUACCUGUAACGGCUGAGCAAAGUUCACAUUGUAUUUAGAGAAUAAAAGGUGACACACAAAUAUAAAGUGUUCCUUUGUUUACAGUAUAGCUACUUAUGGCACAAAUUGUAUUUUUGUAAUGAAUGUAUUUAUUAUACUUGGUAUUUUUUGUAUUUAUUACCUCUGUCCCAGCCAGUACAUUUAAUAACUGAUUAAAAAGCUCUGUGGCAAUCUUUCUAGCAAUCUUUCUGACAAUAAAAGUUUAUAGAAACAGUUGUGUGCUUUUAAUGUUUGAUAUGUAACAUGUCAACAAUUGACACGUGUAAGAUGAGCAGUUAGCAAAGUA